AUUGAACGCUGGCGGCAGGCCUAACACAUGCAAGUCGAACGGUAACAGGAAGAAGCUUGCUUCUUUGCUGACGAGUGGCGGACGGGUGAGUAAUGUCUGGGAAACUGCCUGAUGGAGGGGGAUAACUACUGGAAACGGUAGCUAAUACCGCAUAACGUCGCAAGACCAAAGAGGGGGACCUUCGGGCCUCUUGCCAUCGGAUGUGCCCAGAUGGGAUUAGCUUGUUGGUGGGGUAACGGCUCACCAAGGCGACGAUCCCUAGCUGGUCUGAGAGGAUGACCAGCCACACUGGAACUGAGACACGGUCCAGACUCCUACGGGAGGCAGCAGUGGGGAAUAUUGCACAAUGGGCGCAAGCCUGAUGCAGCCAUGCCGCGUGUAUGAAGAAGGCCUUCGGGUUGUAAAGUACUUUCAGCGGGAGGAAGGGAGUAAAGUUAAUACCUUUGCUCAUUGACGUUACCCGCAUAAGAAGCACCGGCUAACUCCGUGCCAGCAGCCGCCGUAA
rnacentral:rRNA from 1 species